rnacentral:rRNA from 1 species
CCAACCACGGUCAGGUCAGCGACUGGGGUGAAGUCGUAACAAGGUAGCCGUAGGGGAACCUGCGGCUGGAUCACCUCCUUUCUAAGGAAAA